UGAGAUAAAUUCUGGGGAUGCUCUUUUC
rnacentral:piRNA from 1 species